AGGGCGGGGGAGACAGACAGAGAGCGAGGACAGGAGAAAGUCAAUGUUAGACAGACAGCUAGUUCGUGCAGCGUUAUUGCAUCUACUGUUAUGUAGAUGUGUUUCGUCCCUUGGCUUAAAAACAAGCCACCUCCUGGAGUCUGAUGGAUUGAGGAAUGAAUGAGUCUGACCUGUGCAACGCCGUAAUUUUUGAAGAUGACAAAAGCUGAAAUGCUGUCAAGUAGCGUAAUCACUACCUGACGUAUUUUGCAUUUUAAAAUUGCAUGAUGACACACUGUUUUGGAAGCUGAAUGACUGCAUCAUAGGAUUACCUCAGUUAACAAAGGGAAAAACUGAAUGAGCAAAUCAAUUACAUUGCACCUGGUGGAAACUGGUGAACUAUAAUUUGAUCAUUUUCUUUCUGGGGGCUACUGAGUUACUUCUGCUUUUCUUGAAACAUUCUGAUAAAAUCUGAACUAUGAAAUAAUGAAAUUACAAGUGAAAAGAAGAUCUACAAAUACAAACGAAAAUAACUGCCUGGCAGUUGCUAAGCAGUGAAAUAAACUUAGAAGUAUGCUUCUGACUGGUCCAGGUAAGCACAGGUUGGUGUGCGUGUGCGGCUGCGUGUAAAACAGUUUAAGAGGCUGGUGGGAAGAACAGCACAGGCAGCGGCCCCUUCUUGUUACUCCAAGAUGACAAAAGAUGCUGCGGGGCUGCUCCAGCCUUCAUCAGAAACUGAUGCCACUUCAGAUGAGCUUCCUCACAUCUCUCUCUAACCUGCUUACAGGGAGGCUCUGUGGCACAGACAAAAGAGUGUGACAAAUGUUACCUUUCAUUUGUUUGAUACCCGACAUGAUCUGGGGCUGUUUUGGUGUAUUUUAUUCCGUUAAGUUUCGGCGAAACCCCACUCCCACAAAUCCAUCCACCAAACGCUUGAAAUGCACAUAUUCAUUUUAUAAUAUUUCGUCCAGUUAUCACAAUUUUCACUUCACAUGAAAUCCCAAUGUAAUAACCAGAACAAAAUGGAAUAGCUUAUACAUUAUACACAAACACGUAUGGUGCUGUGCCUCAACAUCUUGUGUAGGAGUAUAUUCCCUAUACUGGCGACGCUACGGAGACUGCGCGUUCUGCGAAGCAGUCGCAUGAUCCGGUUUUCCAGCGAGGCGGAAGCCCCGCCGCCGUAUUCACUGGGAGCCGGAGCCGGAGCCGGGUGGCGCUUCUGGGUGAACUGCUGUGACGACUUCCAAGAAGUUUCACUGCAUCUUUUUCAAACAUGGAGCCGAUAUGACAAAGCACGCUUGUGGGAGUGAAGGGGAGUUUUAACGCUUGUGCGCGCAACACUGCCCCCCGCAGGCUUCUCUCGAGCUCCGCCGUGGCGUGCAACAAACCCCUGGCGCGCGCAUCUGCUAAUGUGACUGCUUACUGAGAAAACGGAUUUGAAAAUCGACUUCCGAGUACUUAACCCGUCCUCUCCUUCCCCGUGGCUUUGGUCCAAAGCGCUGUGUUGCAUCUGCACAGCCAUCAGUGAGCAAGGCAACGUCAUGCUCGAUGAGUGGGAACCACUGGCCGCUGUUGGAGCUCAUCCAUGUUCAGGUUAAUGACCUGCACCAAAGGGGAAACUACGAUAGCCACCACGCAUUAGCAGAUGAAAGAACAUCAACGUGACAACAAAUAUUUCACUAAUGGAAAACAAGAUUACCUGCAGAGAUCCAUCAGUCAAGACAGCACGGGGCAGAAUUCUGCAUACAUGGCCUCAUUCAUUAGGUCAGGUCACUUUCCAGCUGGAGGCGGAAAGGGGAUUUUAAGUCACUAAGAGCACCUUGGUAUAACAUUUACAUUCACCCAGUUUCCACUUGAUUUCACUUAUACUGCACUUUAAAAGCAAACAUGUUUUGCACCAAAGUGCUUCACAAAGAGACAUUGUGGAAAUAAAGCAAGAUUAAAAUAGAAACAAGUUGAAACCCAGGGAAUCAGAUAAAAAUAAGACCGGUUAAACAGGUAAAAGCCAGAGAAUAAAGCCCGUCAGAUGGAGCCGAGGAGCCGCUGCAGAGAAGGCCCUGUGCCCGGCCUUUCCGAGGAUCUGAGGGGCCCGGUGGUGCGGCAGGGGCCCUUUCCUCUCCACCUACAACGUAUAGCCAGCAGGCCACGGCGGGAGGAUCCGAGGGGCCCGGUGGGGCCGCAGAGGGUGAGAGGUUGUGAGGUAUUUGUCGGGGGGAGACCAUGGAGAGAUUUGUAGACAAUUGGAAAGAUGUUGAGGUUUAUCCAGAAAUGAACAGGGAGCCAGCGUGAGGAAGGAUAGCGGUGAUGUGUUCUCGUUUCUUGGACCUCGUUAAUACCCACUUUAACAAAACCUAAUCUAACCGUAUACAUGGAGCAACGGAGGUUGAGUGUUUCCACUGUAAAGCCUCGGUUAGUAACAAAGCUGACGCACUGAUUCAACUCGGCAGCUGCUCUGGUUCCAAAUUAGCUUUCAACUCAGUCACACCAGGACGACAGGAGGAGCAAUCCGUCAAAGUUCUGCUCAGAAAAGACAAUGAGACAUUCAAGUUUGUUUGGUUUUUUAUUUGAAAGUCUUCACCAUGAAGGAAACAGCAAUAAGAAACAGUAACAUUCGUAUUAAAAAACAACCAAUGUAAAAACAAAUCACAGCCCACUGCUCUCCAGUACUUAAAAUUUUACAUACUUGGGGAAAAAAAAAAUCUUGUCAAUAUGAAUCAUUAAAAGGAAAAUACUUUGCCUUUGGUUUGCCUAUCUCCGCUAAAGCUAUUUAGAGAUCCCUUUGAGUUCAGUCAGUUUCUGUUUAUUAAGCAAGUAUAAGCAGGAUGUGAUUUAACAUUUACACAUAAUGGACACCUACAGGGCCCCAGAUCAGUGCUACAAGUGUUAUCGUGAA